CGUUAAGCUUCUUUACCUGUUUAUUGCACUAAACACCAUUCUUACAUGAUGAAUUAAAGCUUUCAUGGGCUAUUGUUGCCUUUAACAAAUAGAACAUAAAUAAAAACGUAAACAUGUAGGAAGAGUAUAAUACAUUUUAGUGCCUAUUAUUUGAGUCUAUACUAAAUCCACAAAGUAGGAGAACUUAGCUGAUGUGACUGACUGCAGCCAGGACUAAUCUAAUGAGAAAUCACAUUUGAGAAUACUCAGGCUGUGCUAUUCUUGGUGUUUACCCAUAUUAGCAAAAAAAAAGAGGUGACGCCAUGUUACAAAACACAGCCUUUUUAUUGUAAUCAUACACAUAUGUAAUUAUAUAUGUUUAAAGAUAGCAAGUUGUGUUGUUCCCAAUGUGGUUCGGCCUUGUAGUGUGACACUUGCCGCAACAUGUGCAUGGCAUUCAAUUUUCCAUCCUUUUAAAACUUUUUUUCUGGAAAGUUGAUACUAAUAUAGACAUAUUUCUCUGUGUUAUUACUCAUUAUAUUUCAUGAAGUUGCACCGAUGUCAUCAACCUUCAUUGCACAGUACCUGAUAAUUCAGUUCUCUAUCUCUUGCAGACAUAGAUUAAUGCUAGAACCGUGAUAGGUUUCUGCAUAACAGUGCACAGGAAUAAAUCGUUAGCUGAAACGCCACCAAAUUGGGAAUAAAAACUGUUUCAAAUCCAUGAUACCCUCACCAUUCUGACAGUGACUGGAUUUAAGUCGGUCAAUCGGUAAUAAAAAAUAAAAAAAUCUAAUGUGGUAAAUUUUCACUCAUAUUCUCUUCCAUGUGUGUCAGCUGGAAUAUGAUUCUGUGUUGUUUUUUUUUUUUAUUUCCCCUGCUCCGUACAUGACAGUGAACAAGGCUGCAAGGUUGCAUUAACGAACGUUAGGUCUUUGAAGUACUUCCCAGCAGUUCCCAGAAAGAGACAUUUAGCUGUUGUGUUUUCAUGUAGGGAAAUAUAACAACUGAAAGAUGAAGUUAUAUGUUGUAAAGCUAUCUCUCAAGUAAAUAAGCAUUAUACGUUCAUUUAUACUAUUUAAAUAAGCGCUAUACUCAAUAACAGAACGAUUUAAUAACAGUAUGAGACUGUGUACCCUUUAAUCAGCAGCCCCACUUAUUAUCUGAACUGGGGGCCUGCCAAAAGAAGGAACGAUUUGCACUCAACAGGUAAACACUAGACUUUUAAUUUUCAAUGAAGGUUAAGUCUCCUGUUCAUCACUGUUGAGGAUCAGUCCUCAUUCCGUUUGCCUUUCACACUAAUGCAGCUAUUCCUACACUCAUACGUAUGAUCCAUAAGGUCUGGAAAAACUCCCAGGAGUCAAAUGUAUUUACUGCUGUCUUCUGUAUCAUUAAGGAUAUUAUAUAGGACUCUAGGAUCGUGUUCCAUCCAUAGAGAGUGUUGGCACCUUGGCCAUGUUUUCCCAGAUAGCUAAAAAUUCCACAUGCUCUUGGUAUGUACAUGAGUAGUGCUCGUCAGCAAUAUGAAUAGCUAUCAAUUUCUAAAGGGAAAAUCAGUUCCAAAGGGAUUUCAACUAAGAUUAAAUUAAUUUCUACAUCUGAAUUCUACAUAUUAGCUAAGGCCCACAAUAAUUUUUCAAAACCUACCAUGGACAUCAUAGACCAAAUGGUCUUUAACCAAUCAUAUACACCUCAUCAGGGGAGGAUUAUGCAAAAAAGGGCUUUAGCAGCACACACAUAAAGUAUGCACAAUGCAAUAACAAGAUGCCUCACAAUACCUGUUUUAGUCUUAUUCAUAUCCUUAACUAAACUAGCCAGCAUACAAGCCAUAGAGGACUGCAGUUAAGAUAGAUUGUUUCUCCAGAAUGCGUGAAUAAAACCUACCAAAUGCCUCCUUUUCUCUUUCUUAAUAAACAAUUUCUGUCUUGGUUAUGACUGGGCUGAGACUUCCAUCAGAACAUUAUGGUUUUUGAAAUUUGUCAGAAAAACGGGCCUGCCCCGAUGAAAUCAGAAUGGUUGGAAUGCAUGCCUUUGGUAUCCCACUCUUUGCUAAAUGCAAGUAUUACAACCCAUUAAAACUGACGUCUCAAACUCCAGACCCUAGAUCAGGGAUAGGCAACCACGGCACUCCAGAUGUUGUGGACUACAUCCCCCAUAAUGCUCUUAUACCCAUAAUGCUGGCAAAGCCUCAUGGGAGGUGUAGUCCAAAACAUCUGGAGUGCCAAAGGUUGCCUAUGCCUGCCCUAGAUGCUGCUGAAGAACAACUCCCAUGAUUCCCUGGGCAUCUAUUGCAUUCCGUUCAUCUAUUGCAUUCUCUGGAACUUGUAGGCCAUCAACGUCUACUGGACCAGAAUUUGAGAUCCCUACAUCAGACCUUACCUAUUUCAUAUCAACAAAUUUCUGUGCUGUAAUACUGGACUAAAUCACAAUUUCACCAAAUAUUUAGAAACAUGUGGAAAAAAGUAACUUUUCAUGGUAGGUUCUGUUUAACAUCCCAUGGCGGAUUCUCUUUUAUUACACUUUGCUAAACUUGCAGUAUUUUUGUGAAGUCCAUUUAUUUUUUCUUUGCAUUUUUUUUUGUGCACUUGGUAUUUUUUUUAAACCUAAGGUGCUAUAGCAAUAUUUCACUGUCCCUGCUUAACCUAUUCAGGUGAGAAUCCUACAGCAGAAAAGCACUGCGUGUCAGGGGAAAUUAAAGGAAAAUAAAUAGUCUUAUUUACAUUUCAAGUAAGAGUUUGCAUUUUUUGUGAAUGCUCAUCCUCCAGGGAGAGCCUGAUUGGAAAGCAGAAGCCAUCAAACCUACACGCACAAUUGAACUGAUGGAUAUAACACAUUUUUGAUGGAAUAUUUAUUGAAACCAUAUUUUGCAGUCAGCUUCCUGGCAAAUAGCCAUGAGCAUGUUUUCCAUCUCUGACAGGGAGACCAAUAAAUAGCUUUCCUCAACCUAAAAUCAAUUUUGAACUGUGUUUACCGCAUUUCUUAAGCAACUGCAUGAAUCAAAGUAAAGGAUUUUAUUCACUGAAUGUAUCGUGGUGACUUGACAGAUUUGAAACAUUUUGACUUAAAUUUCUAUUAGCAGAUCCAAAAUGGAACCUUACAUGAAACAUAGGCUUAGUACAAUCUUACUGAUAAAUGACAACCAGAAGAUUGUACUAAGCCUAUGUUCAAGGCCAGCAGCUGAUCACUUUCAGCCAGAGCUAAACUUUGCACGGCUAGGUUUAGCGCAAUGCAAAGAGCUUCUAAUACUCAUAAAGGGGUUGACUGUUGCCCGUUGAACCCUAGGUAAGUUGUACAUUGAGGGUGGGGGGCACUCUUGGCACCAUAACCACUAAAGCAGGCAGUAGAGGUUAUUGUGCUCGGAGUGUUUAUUUAGCAUCACCCAAUGCUACCUGUUGGGAAAGGGUUGGACCUAGAGACCUGCCCAUCAGUUGUUAGACUCCAGCGUUUACAGCUAUUAUUUUCUCUGUUAAGAUUGGAAUUGGAGUGCAGAUGAUUAGAAUAAUGUAAACAUGCUCAGAUUAUUAUAAAAAAGUUAGCAUAGCAUUUUCUAGUUAAGCAUUUGUCUCUAUGGAUUCCAUGCAAAUCUGAAUGUUUUUUACUGGCAGGAUCCCUUCUCUGUUUCCAUAGCAAAGCAGUCUUGGUUCAUAGAUAGAGGGAUGCAAUGUAUCCUAAAAAGUACCAGUAACAUGUUUACCAAGAUUUAUUAUUUAUAUAGCAUUUAUAUAGCACCAGGAUAUUUUACAGAACUUUACAACAGUUUACAAAUAGCCAUUGUUUCUACAAAGUAAGCAAAAUUAAUUUUUGUGCAAUAAAAUUGGCACUUUAACGAAAAGGUCUGUUUUAAGCAUUUAAAGACUUACUAUAAAUCAUAGAGGUGUAGGCCUAAAAACGGUGGUUUCUAACACAGUCCCCAUGGCUUGAAAUGGUCCAGGGUUUAUCAUUAUACCUUCUGGAACAGAAAAAGGGAAUUACAAAAUCCAACACAAGAACUGGUCUAGGAAACAUUGCUGUAACUUGUGAGAUGUUGAGAUGCCUUAAGGUUCUUUGUACUAAAACCUUUAACGUCUGCCUCACUUUUGUAUAUAUAGACUCUGUAGAAUAUCAUAGAGGACUGGAAAGGUUUCUCUUAUUGAGAGAAAUUCUACCAUAGUCACAUUUUAGUAUAUACCCCAGACUGCCUGUCAGAGGAUUAAAGACAGUAAUCUUUAAAGAAUUUUCCACAUUUAUAGGCACUUAGAGAUAAUAUUCUCCUUCACAUUUCUAAUUUCUUAGCUUUGGCUCAUUUCCAGUAAUAACAGAUUAAGUGGCAGAGCACAUCUUCAGAGUCUCUCUCUCUAGAAAUGACAUUAUUGGUAAAGUAAAGAGUGCAAAGUGCUAGGAAAUAACAAAUAAAAUAACAGUUCUUAUAAAGUUACCAUGGAGUAAUGGGAUAUGUGUGUGUCACUGAAAUGUAAAAACAAAGGAAAACAGAAGGAAAGAAGCAAUUAAUUCAGAUGUAUAACUUGGUUGCUUGUUACUAAAACUGAAAUAUACCAAUGUGCAAAAACAUCACAAUAUCCAGAGAAAUAUAUACAAGGGACAUUCAGUAUAUUCUAUUUUUGAGGAACACCAGUUGGUAUCCAUAGUCUGUCUUUUUUUAAUUUGUUCUGUAUU